UACGAAGGUGGCAAGCGUUACUCGGAAUUACUAGGCGUAAAGGGCAGGUAGGUGGUUCGGUAAGUCUGCUGUGUAAGCUCCCGGCUUAACUGGGAGAGGUCAACGGAAACUACCGGACUUGAGUAUGGGAGAGGGUUCUGGAAUUCCCGGUGUAGCGGUGAAAUGCGCAGAUAUCGGGAGGAACACCAAUGGCGAAAGCAGGAGCCUGGACCAUUACUGACACUCAGCUGCGAAAGCUAGGGGAGCAAACAGG
rnacentral:rRNA from 1 species